ACAGAGAUCAGAACAGUUAAAGCAAUUAUAUUUCAGAAUUCCUCAGUCUGUAAUGCUGGUUUAGGGUAAUAUGCUACAAGCUGUUAUUAGAAAUGAAUUGAGAUGGAACACGUCUGGACAAGAUGAGAGGCACAUGAAUCAAUCAAACAAAUAAAUAUAAACGUACCUCUCCUUUCUGCUUCUCCAAAAAAUAUUGUCAUACCCAUGUCGAAGCCUGAAUCUGGAGAGGAGGACAAGCCGGAACUACAGCCGACAGAGAUCAAGGGGGCGGCUUCAUUGCCUUUGGAGGAAUGUGGGGAGGAGCAGUCCAAGGCAGCCCAGGGCUCCUCAGGAUUGGCACAAUUUGUUAUCAGGGAGGAACGGGGGCAGGAUGACCGAGAGAGGACUGCACCACAAUAAAGAAGAAGGUCACCAAUGAUGGCUAAAGAAUGAGUUCUCCCUGGACUGUCCCUUCAUUAUGUGGUGCUACCAUCUGCCGUGGGAAAUGGAGCUUGCAUUCGGAUAAAUCGUGGAAGUCUGCAAUUGGAGAAACAUACUGCCUUAGUGGUCCCUGGAGGUUUCCCAUCAAACUAAUUAACAGCCCUGACCCUUUUUAGCCUUUUUAGAAUCAGCCAAUUGGCUAGAUUACUUUGCUCUGUCAAUUAAACCAAAAUUUCACUGAAUAAAAGCACUCUUUUCCUCA